UUCGGCGAGAAAAUAAGGAAGCCCAAUAUUAAACCCUAAAAUGCCUAUCCCUUUUAUUUGCUAAAGAAACCCUAACUCCGUACUUCCUCUCUUGCAGUGGUAGGGAACGAAGUCGAACUGUUCCACACAGCAGCCAUGGUGAAGUAUUCAAGAGAACCGGACAACCCUACUAAAUGGAGUUAUUUAAGUAUGUUACAAAAUUUGGAGCAAAAAAGGUCAUUUUCGAUCGGUAGAAAAAAGUAUCCAAAAUUAAUCGAUCAACGUCGCUGGGAUGUCCAACUUUUUCUCCAAGGCGGAGGUGACGAACAGCGGCCGCCCUGUCCUCCUCCGCAACGAAGUCGAAUAUCGAAUGCCACCUUCUCUCCGCCGUCGACCCCGAACCUGAAGACCACCAUCACUUCUCCCUCUUAACAUUGGGUCUCCUCAUCCUCACCACCCACCGCCUCAUCUGGCUACCUUCUUCUUCCGUCUCAGCCAUCCCUCUUGCUGCCAUUUCCCACAUCUUCUUGAAUUAGAAAAUCUCACUUGUCAAUACUGAAAUUUCAAAAUCUUAAGUGAGUCACUCUCAACAUAAUUCAUCCAGGUUUGAUAUGUGAUGUAAACAAUGGCAUAUAUAAGGGGCAGACAAUGGCU